rnacentral:antisense_RNA from 3 species
CUUGAGCGAGCCCAGCCACACCGGCUGAUCGGCCGGGCGGUCCUGACCGUAGGUGGACAGCAGUGCCUGCGCCUC